rnacentral:rRNA from 2 species
AGUCGAGCGGAAGGCCCUUCGGGGUACUCGAGCGGCGAACGGGUGAGUAACACGUGAGUAACCUGCCCCAGGCUUUGGGAUAACCCCGGGAAACCGGGGCUAAUACCGGAUAUGACCGGCUGCCGCAUGGUGGUUGGUGGAAAGUUUUUCGGCUUGGGAUGGACUCGCGGCCUAUCAGCUUGUUGGUGGGGUAAUGGCCUACCAAGGCGGCGACGGGUAGCCGGCCUGAGAGGGCGACCGGCCACACUGGGACUGAGACACGGCCCAGACUCCUACGGGAGGCAGCAGUGGGGAAUCUUGCACAAUGGGCGGAAGCCUGAUGCAGCGACGCCGCGUGAGGGAUGACGGCCUUCGGGUUGUAAACCUCUUUCAGCAGGGACGAAGCGUUUGUGACGGUACCUGCAGAAGAAGCGCCGGCCAACUACGUGCCAGCAGCCGCGGUAAGACGUAGGGCGCAAGCGUUGUCCGGAUUUAUUGGGCGUAAAGAGCUCGUAGGCGGCUUGUCGCGUCGACUGUGAAAACCCGUGGCUCAACUGCGGGCUUGCAGUCGAUACGGGCAGGCUAGAGUUCGGUAGGGGAGACUGGAAUUCCUGGUG